GCAUGGAGGUGGGGGUCGUGAUCUGCUCCCUGGGCCGGAGUUACUCACUGGCCUCGCUCUGGUUGUAGUAGCCGCGCAGGGUCUGCAGGUUCAUUCUGUCAGUCUGUGCGUGGGCCUUGGUGUUCCGUGUCUCCUCUUCCCAAUACUCCGGCCCCUCCUGCUCCACCCACGGCGCCCGCGGCUCCAUCCUCGGACACGCCGAGUCGCUGUCGAACCGCACGAACUGCGUGUCGUCCACGUAGCCCAUGGCGAUGAAGCGGGGCUCCCCGCGGCCGGGCCGGGACACGGCGGCGCUGAAAUACCUCAUGGAGUGGGAGCCUGGGGGCGAGGAGGGGUUGAGACCCGCCCGACCCUCCUCCCGGCGCGGCUGCCGAGUCCUGCGCCCCCGCCAGGCGGGCCCCUCCCUCCUCCGCGCAGGGGCCGUUUCCCUCCUGACCCCGCACUCACCCGCCCAGGUCUCGGUCAGGGUCAGGGCCCCCGAGAGCAGCAGGAAGAGGGUUCGGGGCGCCAUGACCACCAUCCUUGGCGUCUGGGGAGAAUGAGUCCGGGUGGGUGAGCGAGGACUUUAGAACCAGGACCGCGGCGACGCUGAUUGGCUUCUCUAAAAACCUGUCACCUAAUGGGAGUGAGAACUGGGGCCGCCCGGUGAGUAUCCAGGAAGAAGGACCCGACACAGGUUAGGAGAAGGAGGAGAGAAUCCCCAACGCGGGGCCUCCCCAACCCAUACACCGCCUGUGGGGCCUGAGACCCUGAGAGCCACGCUUGAGGCCCUGGGACUUCGCCCUGACCCCGCUACUCUUGUGCCAAGCGUUCUGUCUCAGUGUCUCCCUGAGUCUUGGCCCAGGAGCUGUCUGAGAAACCAGGGAGAAACCCUCGGCAAGGUCCCUGGCCCUCUCCCUUCACUUUUCAUCCCGGAAUCCCUGUCCCUGAACUGGACUCCCUGCCUCCCACUCCUUGCCUGUCCUCCUGUACUCUUCUAG
rnacentral:lncRNA from 1 species